GGCGGCUAUGCCAUGAUCAAGAGAUCGCGGAGCCGGCGACAGUUUUGGCUCAGAAAACGUACCUCAAUCGAGAGAUGAGAUACGGCGGUGUACUCCUAAUUAUCCCAACUGUCAAAUCGAGAAGAUUGAAAUACUGCUGGUUUUUAAUGACUGGUAUUUUCGUCAGCAUUGGAUUCUAGCGUUGGGGUAACAGUAUGGUCGCGUUUAUCAGAAAUAAUGGGAGACAAGCGUCAGUCGUGCGGAUUCAAGAGGACCAAGAUGGGAGAAGAUUCACAGGGAAACGGAAGAUUGUGAACUGUAAGGAGAUGAUUCGGGCUCUGAGUUGCGGAAAUUCUCAUACGGUUUAACUGUCUGAAGAGGGCCGGGUUCUCUGCUUGGACAAAGCCAAUAGUCCCAGACCGACAUGCUCCAGCUCCUGUUGAUUGCCUGAAUCUGAAGAAGACUGUUUUGAUUUCAUGUGGAGGAGAACAUACUGCCGUUCUGACAAAGGGAGGUGUGGCGUUCACAUUUGGCUUAGGCCGCUAUGGACAGCUUGGACACAACUAUCUCCAGGAUGAACUACGACCUCGAAUGUUAAAGAUCAGACCGACGACCAGAAGAUCGAACACAUUUUUGUCGGAGGGAACCAUUCCUUGCAUUGUGCGCUCUUGGUCAGGAGACUGAAGGUCAAUCUCAGUCACAUACUGAACUGAAAGGUUGAAGCUGUUGUCCAGCACACACUACUUCCCUCCUUGUAUGAGAAGCCCAUUGGAGUGGAGGGCUUGAGGGUCUAUCUGGUUCUCCCUGAGCUCCUGAAUGUCCUUCACAAACAGCACAGAAGGACAGAUCUCACCGAAGCCGUUGCUGCUGCUAUCCUCAGACUGCACCCCGACAAGCUGCAGGUCCUCGGUAAUAUUGCCGUCCAUUUAAAAUGUUUAAAGUGUGUCACCCCAAAUUCAACUAAUCAACAAUAACGUAGUCGUAUAUCUGUUUGUGCUGUAGCCAACUUCUAUUGUCCUUGUUCAUUCGCUGUCUGGAAGAUUUAGACUAGGCUAAAUUAACAAAACCAGAGAUUAUUUGAAUCAAGCGUGGUAGUGCUGGGCUAAAACAUAAUGUGUACACUUUGAGGAUGCCUCUGGAAUGAUUGUGAAGUAGAGCAAAUUCUAUGCUCCCACAAAAUAAUUUGAGAAAGGAAAUAAAAUAAAACAAGGUUAUAUACAGGGGGUGCCAGUACCGAGUCAAUGUGCGGAGGCACAGGUUAGUUGAGGUAAUUUGUACAUAUAGGUACGGGUGAAGUGACUAUGCAUAGUUAAUAAACACUGAGUAGCAGCUGUGUAAAAACAAAUGGAGGGGGGGGUCAAUAU
rnacentral:lncRNA from 1 species